AGGUCUGGACAGAAAGAAACAAAUUCACAUCGACAAUUUGUUGGAAGUUAUGGACCCAACCAAUAAAUGUGUGACUUCUGCUACCUCUGAAAGUGAAUGCACUUCCCUAGGUGGGUCUUUUCCUGUGUCCCACCUGCUAUGUUCAUCCCCACGCGGGCUUGGCCCUAAAGACAAAUGUGCUUCUCCAAGCCCUUCCACAGCUGCCACAUCUGUGGUUAAACAGAUAACCUUUCAGGAGCUAUUAUUCCAUUUCUGGAAUGCAUUUAAAACUGCUUAGUGAUAGGACUCCAAGACAAAGUGCUAAAGGAUAUUGUCUAAGAAGCCAGGACCCGGGCAACAGCUUGGAUAGCAGUUGGGAGAAUGGUCCCUAGGUUCACAGUCCCAGAUCCUUAUCAGAGUUGGAACUGGGACCCAAGGAUAUAUGACUUCAAGUUAAUUAGUCUUUUAGAGUUUGUCUUCAGCUGUAAAAUGCAAGGUUUGUGUCAGAUAACUUGCAGGGGCCCUGCCAGAUCUGAUGCUGCAGGAUGCCUUACAAGGUGUGAGCGCCACUCUCCCAAGGACAACCCGGACCCUCCUGAGGCCACUGUGGUGUGUGCAGCCCUGUAGUGGGUGCCUGUCCUGCCCCCUCCAUCUCGGGAGGAGUCAGACCCAGGCAGCAGAGGUUUUCAAGGCACCAUCUCAACAUUUUCCUCCUGUCUUUUCCUUAAGACUGUGGGCCUCAGACCCUAGCUGUUCAGGCUAUUUUGUGUCUGAGGAGACGUUUAAACCUGUUCAGUAGAGGGAAAGCCCAGUGAGAGAAAACUAUGAAAAUAACCAGAUUCAAAGAGGAGAUGAGAGAAGAGAGAAUGACUUGAUUAAAAGGCAUCUGCUGUUCUGGAAAUGCCUUGAAGCCAGGGAUGAUACCUUAUUUCUCUUUGGACCCUCUGAGCCUAGCAGAGUCCCAGGCAAAGAGAGGACACUUACUAAACACCUGAUGAACGUGGACACAGACGAAGAAUGAGGGCAGGAACCCGAAAGUGUCCUCCCAGGAGGUGAGGAAGAGGGUAGGAUCUGUGUAAAACACACAACCCUGAAAAAUGCUCCGGGACUCACCUGUCCAGAGUUCCUAAAUUUGGAUGCCAUGGCCCCAGCGACAGCCUGGUCCACAUUGGCGCUGUCGAACACAAUGAAUGGGGCGUGGCCACCCAGCUCCAUGGACACCCUUUUCACAGAGUUUGCCGCGUGAUGCAACAGGACCUGGGAGCAGAGGAGAGGAUGCUGUGAGCACCAGAUCAACUAUAUGGACCGGCUUAGUUGCUCUGCGGCAUGUGGGAUCUUCCUGGAGCUGGGAUCGAACCCGUGACCUCUGCAUUGGCAGGCGGAUUCUUAACCACUGCACCACCUAGGAAGCCUGAGUUUCACAGUUUUAUAACCUGCUUUAUCUUCCCAGAUACUCAUAUAUCUGGCACAUCUUAACAUGCCCAUAACACUUCAUUCCCUGAUCCUUUAAGUAACACUAUCAUGUGAAGAUUCUCCCAUGUCAGUGUGUGUUUCUAGAACAUUCCUUUAGUUGCUUCCCUAGUAUUCCACUGCACGGCUAUUCAUUCAU